CUGUGACACAAAGAGUACCAAAACAAAACAAUGGUAUACCCAAAUAAAAGGAAGAAUCCAAAGGCUCUGCAUUAUAAUCUUCAGCAUCUUCUCAGUGAUAGACUAAUUACUCUUCAUAACAAGUACAUACUAUAAAUGUGCAUGCCUCUUGACAGCAAUAUGCAACUUCUGUUUAAGACUAGUUCUUCUACACCAAGGUGAAUAAAACAAUGUUGGAAUAUUACUAAGCACAACAACACCAUGGAAAGUCUCCAUAGAUUCCUUCUGUUUAAGACUAGUUCUUCUACACCAAGGUGAAUAAAACAAUGUUGGAAUAUUACUAAGCACAACAACACCAUGGAAAGUCACCAUAGGAUGCCCAAAAAUCGAGGAAAACAAGCCGAGGCCUAAUAAAUAUCACAAAAUUUUGUCAACAAAUAAUGAUGGAAUCUGGGACUCUGAAAAGAUAAAAAUAUAAUAGCACAUUAUUUCCCCUAUGCAUAUGCAAGCUGACACAAUUCAAUGUAAAAACAUAUAGUUCUAUAUGUUCAGAAAUAGAAUGAAAUGGGUCCAGAUAGAGCAGAAUUGACAUCAUGGAAUCAUAUUGCCUAUGCCAACUACUUUGGGUUCGAUCCACACUUAAUAUCUAUGCUUCCAGAAAUUUGGAUGUCUCUUUCUUGAGAUGGAGGCAUGUUGAUCACUUUAAUAUUACCAGCCAUACCAAGGGGAGGAAGGAAUAAAGCCAAGGCUCCUAUCAUUCAGAAAUAUAUAGCUCUAAUGCAAACCCAAUAAACCUAACAAGGAGAUUAAAUUAAAAAUAGCCUGAAAACAAAAAUAAUCAAAUUCACUUCUAAAAAUAGGAGAGAGAUGAAUUUCACACCAACUCCUUCAUCUAAAACUUUGCACAGCACUUCAAUAUGCAACCAGAUAGUGAACCAGAAGAACCCAAAAGCCCUAGAAGAUAUUCUAUAUCUAACCACCAAGAUAAGAACAACAAAACCUAACAACAACUACUCAAUUUCAAACAAGUUGGGGAUAUAUGAAUCCUCACUGACCAUAUUGAACCAUUUAAACUCAUCUCAACUCAAUAUUAUGCAAAUACAAAUAAAAAAUAUUAGACGAAACAUAGUUCCUAGGACGCAUAGGACCUAUAGUAAAGGUGCUAACAAGUCUAAAGCAUACAACUAGAAAAUAUUAGAAGAAACCAGGUACCUAGGAUGCAUAGGACCUAUAGUACAAGUGUUAACAAGUCUAAAGCAUGUUCUCAACUAACAGGUACGCCUAUAUAGAUCUUUUUCUUCUGUUGUACCCUAUCUUAUGCUAGGUAUGCAUGAAUUCCGAGAAAUUGCAGGUUCUUCGACCAGGGGCAGAGCAACAAGCCCAGAUACAGGUUCAAGUGAACAUAGUAGCUAGCGAUGUAUUUGUGUUUAAUAUGUAUGAACGCAGUAUUAAUGUAUUAUAGCUCGAAGUUGUUCUAAAAUGCAGAACUGAUAAAGUUAAAAUCCGGGUUCUCCCUUUGACACAACUACACAAUCUAACAAUUUUUUUAUGUUACAAAGCCGAACAUGUAAUUACAAUUUUCUAACAUGAACAACAUUAAAGACAAUAACGUAUCAAAACGAACAGAUACAUGAGAAAUCAGAAAGUACAAAAAUCAGAUCUAAAACACGAAACUAACCCGAAUAUCCCUGGAAAGGGGAUGCGAACACAAAACACCAGUGCAAUUUCGAUCAGAUAUGUGAAG
rnacentral:lncRNA from 1 species